GAUCUGUGUCGUAGCGAACGCGUUAAACAGUGCACCUGGGAAGUACGAUCGCAAGGCUGAAACCCAAAGGAAUUGACGGGGACCCGCACAAGCAGUGGAGCACCUGGUUUAAUUCGAUGGUCAGCGAAGAACCUCACCUAGGCUUGAACUGUAGCUGCACGCUCCCAGAAACGGGAGAAUCCUUCGAGGGUGCUACAGAGGUGCUGCAUGGCUGUCGUCAGCUCGUGUCGUGAGAUGUAGGGUUAAGUCCCACAACGAGCGCAACCCCUAUUCAGUGUUAUAAUUACUCUGAAGACUGCCCUGUCCAAACGGGGAGGAAGGAGGGGACGACGUCCAGUCAUCAUGUCCCUUAUGUCUAGGGCUACACAGACGCUACAAUGGCCGGUACAAUGGGUUGCCAAACCGCGAGGUGGAGCCAAUCCCAUCAAAGCCGGUCCCAGUUCGGAUUGCAGUCUGCAACUCGACUGCAUGAAGUUGGAAUUGCUAGUAAUCGCGAAUCAGCACGUCGCGGUGAUACGUUCUCGGGUCUUGUACACACCGCCCGUCAGGGCACGGGAGUCGCUCUUGCUCGAAGU
rnacentral:rRNA from 1 species